CGCGCAGGCGGUCUCGUAAGUCCCGUGUGAAAUCCCCCGGCUCAACUGGGGAAUGGCACGGGAAACUGCGAGGCUUGAGUUCGGGAGAGGGAAGCGGAAUUCCGGGUGUAGCGGUGAAAUGCGUAGAUAUCCGGAGGAACACCGGUGGCGAAGGCGGCUUCCUGGACCGACACUGACGCUGAGGCGCGAAAGCUAGGGGAGCAAACG
rnacentral:rRNA from 1 species